rnacentral:rRNA from 1 species
CAGCAGCCGCGGUAAUACAGAGGGUGCGAGCGUUAAUCGGAUUUACUGGGCGUAAAGCGUGCGUAGGCGGCUUCUUAAGUCGGAUGUGAAAUCCCUGAGCUUAACUUAGGAAUUGCAUUCUAUACUGGGAAGCUAGAGUAUGGGAGAGGAUGGUAGAAUUCCAGGUGUAGCGGUGAAAUGCGUAGAGAUCUGGAGGAAUACCGAUGGCGAAGGCAGCCAUCUGGCCUAAUACUGACGCUGAGGUACGAAAGCAUGGGGAGCAAACAGGAUUAGAUACCCCAGUAGUCCUUGUCUCUUAUAA